rnacentral:rRNA from 1 species
UACGUAGGCAGCGAGCGUUGUUCGGAAUUACUGGGCGUAAAGAGUGUGUAGGCGGUGCUCUAAGUUCGGUGUGAAAUCUCCUGGCUCAACUGGGAGGGUGCGCCGGAAACUGGAGUGCUUGAGCGUGGGAGAGGAAAGCGGAAUUCCUGGUGUAGCGGUGAAAUGCGUAGAUAUCAGGAGGAACACCAAUUGCGAAGGCAGCUCGCUGGGACGUCACUGACGCUGAGACGCGAAAGCGUGGGGAGCAAACAGG